rnacentral:tRNA from 1 species
GAGGGUAUAGCUCAAAUGGUAGAGCACUUGCCUGGCACGUAUGAGGUCCUGGGUUCAAUCCCCAGUACUUCCU